CGGACGGGUGAGUAACGCGUGAGUAACCAGCCUUUCAGAGGGGGAUAACGUUCUGAAAAGAACGCUAAUACCGCAUAACAUCAAUUUAUCGCAUGAUAGGUUGAUCAAAGGAGCAAUCCGCUGGAAGAUGGACUCGCGUCCGAUUAGCCAGUUGGCGGGGUAACGGCCCACCUAGUCGACGAUCGGUAGCCGGACUGAGAGGUUGAACGGCCACAUUGGGACUGAGGCACGGCCCAGACUCCUACGGGAGGCAGCAUG
rnacentral:rRNA from 1 species